AUAUUGGGCAAUGGACGCAAGUCUGAACCAGCCACGUCGCGUGAAGGAAGUCGGCCCUACGGGUUGUAAACUUCUCUUGCAAGGGAAUAAAGUGGGCCACGCGUGGCCUUUUGCAUGUACCUUCCGAAUAAGGACCGGCUAACGCCGUGCUAGCAGCCGCGGUAAUACGGAGGAUCCGAGCGUUAUCCGGAUUUAUUGGGUUUAAAGGGUGCUCAGGCGGGGGAUUAAGUCGGCGGUGAGAUUUUGCGGCUCAACCGUAAGAGUGCCUUCGAAACUGGUUUCCUUGAGUGUGGAUGAGGUAGGCGGAAUUUGUGGUGUAGCGGUGAAAUGCAUAGAUAUCACGAGGAACUCCGAUUGCGCAGGCAGCUUACCAGGCCAUAACUGACGCUCAAGCACGAAGGCGUGGGGAUCAAACAGG
rnacentral:rRNA from 1 species